rnacentral:lncRNA from 1 species
GGAGGAGGCGGCGGUCAGUGAAAGAGAAAGAAAAACAGCAAGGAAAAAGAGAAAGAGAGAAAAUAGAAAAAAAAGGAAAAAUUUUCUUGACCAGGCUGUCGAACCAACUCGGUUCUGCACCAAAAUUCGGCUUAGAUUUUAGCUUUUUUGAGGGAUCUUUUGGUUUCCACGCUCUCUUGGGAAACAAUAGAAGAAAUUUUGUUCACAAAUUUCUGGGAAAAAACAGCUCCAGACUAGUUAAAUCGAGGCUCAAAGUAACGGCUUCAUCAUUGCUGAAAUUUCUGCAGCAACUUGCUCCUGACUUCGUUCCAAGAAUCCACGUGGCUUCCAUCAAAUCCUCUUGUUUAUUUGUCUCUGUAAGUUCACAAUCAAAGUUAUGUACUGGACUUUAUUCGAAGCCUAUGAACAAAAGUUGUUUGUUUUCUUCUAUUCAUGAAUCUAGGGGAAGUUUUGAGCUAUGAACUUGUGUUUUCUGGUAUUAUUUGCUUCUGAUAUUAAAAGGGGAGAACAAUGCCUGUGAAAUUUGACUAGAUUUAAGUUUCCAUUAGUUAUGCAUUUUUGUUGUCUUUCGUUGCUUCCAUUUCCUUUCUUCCUGUUUCAUCUGUUUGUCCAAGAAGCUGCUUUCUUCAACUUGAAGUUGUGGAGCCAUGGUUAACAUUUUGGGUGAUUUUGCUAGGAGGGUUUAGGGAAAGGAUUUGUUUGUUCCCUAGAAUAAAGUUUUGAUUGUAUUCCUUGUCAUGAUGCAAUAUGCGUGCGAAUGUCGGUUGGUUCAAUGAACUUCUAUAGCAAACCCAGAAGCUGUUGAGGAAAGCUUCGAAGGAGAUGCAUGGAA